GCUCAAUGGAAUAAUAUUUAAAUAGCUGCAGUAAUUAUAACUGUACAAAGGUAGCAUAAUAAUUUGUUUCUUAAUUAGAAACUAGAAUGAAAGAUAAAAUGAAUAAUUUACUUUAUUAAAAUUAAAAAUUUAAUUUUUAUAUAAUUUAAAAUAAUUAUUUAAAUAAAAUAGACAAUAAGACCCUAUAAAAUUUUAUUAUUUAUAAAUUAUAUUUAUUUAUAAAUAAUUUUAUUGGGAAAAUAAAAAUAUUUAUUAACUAUUUAAAUUUAAUUAACAUUUAUUUAUGAUUAAUAUAUAUAAACUUUUAUAUUUAAAUAAAUUACUUUAGGGAUAACAGAAUAAUUUUUUUAAAAAGUUCAUAUUUAUAAAAAAAUUUAUUACCUCGAUGUUGAAUUAAGAUAAAAUUUUUAAGAAAAAUUUUUAAAUUUAAGUCUGUUCGUCU
rnacentral:rRNA from 1 species